AUUGAACGCUGGCGGCAGGCCUAACACAUGCAAGUCGAGCGCGCGGCGGACGGGUGAGUAAUGUCUGGGAUACUGCCUGAUGGAUGGGGAUCACUACUUGAAACGCUAGCUCUUACCGCAUACCAUCUCAUGUUCCCAGAUGGGAUUAGCUAGUAGGUGGGGUAAAGGCUCACCGAGGCGACGAUCCCUAGCUGGUCUGAGAGGUUGCCGAGCAACACGGGAACGGAGACAGGGUCCAGACUCCUACGGGAGGCAGCAGUGGGGAAUAUUGCACAAUGGGCGCAAGCCUGAUGCAGCCAUGCCGCGUGUAUGAAGAAGGCCUUCGGGUUGUAAAGUACUUUCAGCGGGGAGGCGUUACCCGCAGAAGAAGCAACGGCAAAAUAAGUGCCAGCCGCCGCGGUAAUAC
rnacentral:rRNA from 1 species